AGGGCGCACGGUGGAUGCCUUGGCACUAGGAGCCGAUGAAGGACGGGACGAACACCGAUAUGCUUUGGGGAGCUGUAAGUGAGCUUUGAUCCAGAGAUUUCCGAAUGGGGGAACCCAUCACCAGUCAUAGGGUGAUAUCUUUUCAGUGAAUCUAUAGCUGAGAAGAAGGUAGACGUGGGGAACUGAAACAUCUCAGUACCUGCAGGAAGAGAAAGCAAACGCGAUUCCCUGAGUAGCGGCGAGCGAAACGGGAAGAGGCCAAACCAGAGUGCUUGCACUCUGGGGUUGUAGGACCGGCAAUAUGGACGAGUAAGGAUAGCAGAAAUAAUUGGAAUGUUAUGCGAGACAGGGUGAAAGCCCCGUAUGCGACAUCCGACCUUGCCUAGCCGGUAUCCUGAGUACGGCGGAACACGAGAAAUUCCGUCGGAAUCCGGGAGGACCAUCUCCCAAGCCUAAAUACUCCCUAGUGACCGAUAGUGAACCAGUACCGUGAGGGAAAGGUGAAAAGAACCCCGGAAGGGGAGUGAAACAGCACCUGAAACCGUGUGCUUACAAGUAGUCAGAGCCCGUUUAUGGGUGAUGGCGUACCUUUUGUAGAAUGGACCGGCGAGUGACGAUGUCAUGCAAGGUUAAGCCGAAGAGGUGGAGCCGCAGCGAAAGCGAGUCUGAAUAGGGCGUUCAGUAUGCCGUCGUCGACCCGAAACCAAGUGACCUACCCAUGUCCAGGGUGAAGGUGCAGUGAAAUGCACUGGAGGCCCGAACCCACGUACGUUGAAAAGUGCGGGGAUGAGGUGUGGGUAGCGGAGAAAUUCCAAUCGAACUUGGAGAUAGCUGGUUCUCUCCGAAAUAGCUUUAGGGCUAGCCUCGGAUAGUGCAUCGCGGAGGUAGAGCGACUGUUUGGACUAGGGGCCCUUAUCGGGUUACCGAAUCCUGAUAAACUCCGAAUGCCGCUGAUGUAGAUCCGGGAGUCACACUGCGAGUGAUAAGAUCCGUAGUGGAAAGGGAAACAGCCCAGACCGUCGGUUAAGGUCCCAAAAUCCUUGUUAAGUGGAAAAGGAUGUGGGGCUGCUCAGACAACUAGGAUGUUGGCUUAGAAGCAGCCAUCAUUUAAAGAGUGCGUAAUAGCUCACUAGUCGAGUGGCCCUGCGCCGAAAAUUUACCGGGGCUAAACAAGGUACCGAAACCACGGAUAGAACCAUUGGUUCUAUGGUAGGAGAGCGUUCUAAGGGCAUUGAAGCAAGAUCGUGAGGACUUGUGGAGCGCUUAGAAGUGAGAAUGCCGGUAUGAGUAGCGAAACACGGGUGAGAAUCCCGUGCACCGAAUGACUAAGGUUUCCUGGGGAAGGCUCGUCCUCCCAGGGUUAGUCGGGACCUAAGCCGAGGCCGAUAGGCGUAGGCGAUGGACAACAGGUAGAGAUUCCUGUACCAGUCUGCUUUGUUUGAACGAUGGAGGGACGCAGGAGGCUAAGAUAUGCACGCUGCUGGAUAUGCGUGCCCAAGCAACAAGUCCGAGUAGGAGUCAAAUGCUUCUAUUCAUACGGAUGAGUUGUGAUGGGGAGGGAACUUAUAGUACCGAAGUAUCUGAUGUCACACUGUCAAGAAAAGCUUCUAGUGAGAAGUAGGCUGCCCGUACCGCAAACCGACACAGGUAGUCGAGGAGAGAAUCCUAAGGUGAUCGAGAGAACUCUCGUUAAGGAACUCGGCAAAAUGACCCCGUAACUUCGGGAGAAGGGGUGCUGACCAUCUGGUCAGCCGCAGUGAAUAGGCCCAAGCGACUGUUUACCAAAAACACAGGUCUCUGCUAAUUCGAAAGAAGAUGUAUAGGGGCUGACACCUGCCCGGUGCUGGAAGGUUAAGAGGAAGGGUUAGCUUCGGCGAAGCUCUGAAUUGAAGCCCCAGUAAACGGCGGCCGUAACUAUAACGGUCCUAAGGUAGCGAAAUUCCUUGUCGGGUAAGUUCCGACCCGCACGAAAGGUGUAACGAUUUGGGCACUGUCUCAACGAGAGACUCGGUGAAAUUAUAGUACCUGUGAAGAUGCAGGUUACCCGCGACAGGACGGAAAGACCCCAUGGAGCUUUACUGUAGUUUGAUAUUGAGUGUCUGUACAGCUUGUACAGGAUAGGUAGGAGCCAAUGAAACCAGGACGCCAGUCUUGGUGGAGGCAAUGGUGGGAUACUACCCUCGCUGUAUGGCCACUCUAACCCGCAACCGUCAACCGGUUGGGAGACAGUGUCAGAUGGGCAGUUUGACUGGGGCGGUCGCCUCCUAAAGAGUAACGGAGG
rnacentral:rRNA from 1 species